AAUAACAGAAGAAUUUCACCAUGCGUGCGUAAUCCGCACAUACAGGUUAUUCAAAUAGAAUAAUAAUUAAUGGAAUAACAGAAGAAUUUCACCAUGCGUGCGUAAUCCGCACAGACAGGUUAUUCAAACAGAAUAAUAAAUAAUGGAACCAGGUCAUGCGUAAUCGCACAGACAAGAUAUUCCAACAGAAUAAAUAAAUAAUGGAACCAGGUCAUGUGUAACGCAUAGACAUGAUAUUCCGACAGAAUAAUAAAGAAUGGAAUAACAACAGAAAUCACCAUGCAUGCGAUAUACCGCACAGACAGGUUAUUCCAACAGAAUAAUAAAUAAUGGAACCAGGUCAGGCGUAAUACGCACCGACCGGAUAUUUCAACAGAAUAAUAAAGAAUGGAAUAACAGAAGAAUUUCACCAUGUAUGCGGUACUUCGCAUAGACUGGUUAUUCCAACAUAAUAAUAAAGAAUGGAAUAACAGAAGUUCUCUUCAUGAAUACGAAAGAAAAAUAAUACCCCUUACGGGUACAACAAAUAAUAUAUCUUACAAUAAUGAUAUCUCUUACGAGUACAACAAAUAAUAUCCUUUACCUUAAAAAGAAAAGUAUUCCGACUGGUAGGGCGGGAAUAUACUUGAAGAAAAUUUGCACUACGCUCAAAGCUUUCUUAAACUCUAAAGAAAUACGCUCAAGAUUAUAGAAGAAGAACUCUCUAUAGUUUCUCUCUCUAGAGUUUCAGUGAAUUCGUAAGAAAUAAUGAAGGAAUGAGCUUCUAUUUAUAGAAGAAUGGACUGCAUAGUAACUAAUUCAUGAACGGUCCAGAUUGAUUUACUUUUAAUCGGACGGUCNNNNNNNNNNNNNNNNNNNNNNNNNNNNNNNNNNNNNNNNNNNNNNNNNNNNNNNNNNNNNNNNNNNNNNNNNNNNNNNNNNNNNNNNNNNNNNNNNNNNUAUUUAUAGAAUAACUUUAUAAAAGUAUUCUGUUUUAUAUAAAAAGAUUUUACUAUUAAAACUUUAAACCAACAAUCCAUAUUGAUUUACUAUUAUAAUUUCAACCAACGGUCUGAAAAAUUAGCACAUCUCCUCAUGGAAUAAUAUUGUACCCAAAAAUGAUUUGGACCGAAAAUAAAUAUAUUUUUCGGGUGAAUAGUACCCCGUGAAUAGUACUUCGGGAAUAGUACCCCUACACAAAAAAGUGUCACAAAUACCCGAGUGAACAAUACUAGAGUGAAUAGUAAUCGGGUGAAUAGUAACCCGUGAAUAGUAACUCGUGAAUAGUACUCCGACACGAAAAAUACCCCAAAUACCCGAGUGAAUAAUAUUCGGGUGAAUAGUAAUUUAGGUGAAUAGUAACCCGUGAAUAGUAAUUCGUGAAUAGUAACUCGUGAAUAGUACUCCGACACAAAAAGUGCCCAAAUACUCGAGUGAACAAUAUUAGAGUAAAUAGUAACCGGGUAUUUUAUGACAACUUGUCUACUUUGAAAAAUUUUCACACAUCACCCUUAACUUUAAACUUUUAUCAAUUUAACUAUUUACCAAAAUAGAAAAAUUGAAUACUUUUAUUUCAUAAAAUUCGGGGUCUCACAUUGAUAGUUAUAACUUUUCUUCUAAAGUCUGUCAAACUCUACCCAUUUAAUAGAAAUCUGAAAAAUUAAUGACUUUUUGAAUAACAAAAUAAUUUUAUAGACUUUAUAAAAGUCUCAAUUCAAUACUACCUAACUUUUAAAGACAUUACAAAAGUUGUAAUUGAAUACCAAUAAAUUUUUAUAAACUCUUUAAAUGUCUUGAUUGAAUACAACAAAACUUUUAAAAUUUUUAAAAGUCUUAAUUGAAUACCUCCUAAAUUUUCUUUGAGAUUAUUUCUCUCUUGUGGAUUCAAGGAAUUCUCGUGGAUUCGAGAUUUAUCACUUUUUGUCAACCUAGAACCUAGAACGAUAUCUAGGCCAACCACGGGUACUCCAUCCUGUGUCAACAUCCUACAGAUGUAAAUAAUGCUAUGGACUGACAGGAGCUUAUUUAAUUUGCACUGUCCACUAACUGAUCCUAGUUGCUUCCAAAUUUAUAUAGUGGAUUCUCCUUAUUGAUCUUUUUGUCAACUCUUAUCGAUUUUCCAUUUGAAUUUAAUCAAUUGAUAUUUGUACUCUCUAGUUAAGAUAUUAAGCUGCUUUCAGAAAUCUCACUCUGUUCCAAUUGCACCAACCUGGCAUUUAGAAAAUCCUUCCCCAAACCCUUCUUCCACUACUAGUUUCUAUUUAAUACAACACGAGUAUUGGUAGAUUACGUUUCCUGCUGAUCUUUAAAGUUUAAUUGAAGACUUGUUCAGAAGCAAAUAAACAGUCUCUGAUGCCCCACACAUGAAGGGUGAGUUGACAUUGAGAAUUGAGAGCCUCUCUUGGUGGAUGAGCGAACAAUUAUUCAACAUCAGUUGCAGUUGCUUUCCAGAUCAAACAGGACUUUACUGGACUAGUCUUAAUUGUGAAAGCCAUAGGAUUUCAGAGUAUCUCAGCUUGCCAUGGGCCCAUACUGCUAUAGAUAUCAUUUUUCUGACUUCAUUUGUGCACUUAAUUGACGAGAAGUAGAAUAUACUCUAGGAUGCAUGUAUGUAAUGUAGUUGAACUGUACAGAAAAUGUAAUCCAUUAAUUAAACGUCACAUUGGUAUGUAUCCUAGUUUGCAAUCCUUGAUUAGUGUUCUGUCCUCUGGAUAAUGAUCCAUGUAGGACAUCACCCCUCUUUGUGCUGGAACCUUAUGUUUCACUAUAUAGUGUUUCUUUGGACUACCUGGCCAUCUCUUGGGCUAUUUCACCUGUUGUCUUUAGCUAACGAUAUUUUUAUGAUUGAAUCCAUCCAGUUGUAGGCCCCAACCUCUAGGACAAGAACUUUCCCCAUCUUGAUUUUGAACAAGAUUUAUCCGCACAUGUAAUAUAAUACUCCAUUAGCAAGAGCCCC
rnacentral:lncRNA from 1 species